GACGAACGCUGGCGGCGCGCCUAACACAUGCAAGUCGAACGAGCGAGAGGAGGUUUACUUUCUCAAGCGAGUGGCGAACGGGUGAGUAACGCGUGAGGAACCUGCCUCAAGGAGGGGGACAACAGUUGGAAACGACUGCUAAUACCGCAUAAGCCCACGACCCGGCAUCGGGUAGAGGGAAAAGGAGCAAUCCGCUUUGAGAUGGCCUCGCGUCCGAUUAGCUAGUUGGUGAGGUAAUGGCCCACCAAGGCGACGAUCGGUAGCCGGACUGAGAGGUUGAACGGCCACAUUGGGACUGAGACACGGCCCAGACUCCUACGGGAGGCAGCAGUGGGGAAUAUUGCACAAUGGGGGAAACCCUGAUGCAGCGACGCCGCGUGGAGGAAGAAGGUCUUCGGAUUGUAAACUCCUGUUGUUGAGGAAGAUAAUGACGGUACUCAACAAGGAAGUGACGGCUAACUACGUG
rnacentral:rRNA from 1 species